rnacentral:rRNA from 1 species
AUUGAACGCUGGCGGCAUGCCUUACACAUGCAAGUCGAACGGUAACAGGUCUUUCGGGAUGCUGACGAGUGGCGAACGGGUGAGUAAUACAUCGGAACGUGCCUAGUAGUGGGGGAUAACUACUCGAAAGAGUGGCUAAUACCGCAUGAGAUCUAUGGAUGAAAGCAGGGGACCUUUGGGCCUUGUGCUACUAGAGCGGCCGAUGGCAGAUUAGGUAGUUGGUGGGAUAAAAGCUUACCAAGCCUACGAUCUGUAGCUGGUCUGAGAGGACGAUCAGCCACACUGGGACUGAGACACGGCCCAGACUCCUACGGGAGGCAGCAGUGGGGAAUUUUGGACAAUGGGCGCAAGCCUGAUCCAGCAAUGCCGCGUGCAGGAUGAAGGCCUUCGGGUUGUAAACUGCUUUUGUACGGAACGAGAAGUCUUGGGUUAAUACCCUGGGAUCAUGACGGUACCGUAAGAAUAAGCACCGGCUAACUACGUG